GUGUACUAAGAAAGGAGAGCAAGUUAGCACUCCCCUAGACAAGGAUGGAACACAUAAAUGACCGGAAUAGGCACAAGACAAGUUCCGGUCGACAAUUUUU